UAUCAAUGUCAAAUAUCACAUCAGCCAAAUCCUUCUAACUCAAUCUGCACAGCUGAGUAUAUAGCUCAUACCCAAUCUCAAUCAUAUCAAAUCAAAUCCUACACACGAGUUGAAACCACCUAAAGUGGUCUGUAUGACAAGACUAGGUGUAAAAUAAAUAUGCUCUAGUGCUACGAUCACGUGAAGGUUGUGCGAAUAAUCGCGGGUCACCUACGAGUUGGAACCACCUAAAGUGAUAUGUACGACAAGCCUGUGCACCUAACUUGGAUCCAAGGUGAGCAUAUGGUGCGGGAGGUGAACAUCACAUGAAGAACUGUGCCCUAACUCGGGGCGGGAGCACUAAUAUCGGGGUGCAGGUUUAUGAGCUCUCAAUACAUCACAUCAUAUCUCACAUAACUGAAGCAAUCUCCUAUCUUUAAUUUAUUAACUUACCUGGCAUUUACUAGUGCGUCCACAACACCAAUCAUAAAUGUAUGCAACUACUAAUGCAUAAAAAGAUAGACAAAUACUGUGCAUGGCAUUUCAAAACGUAUAUUCAUUUAAAUUCAUUUUCUGGGAAAAAUCUCUAGUAUAUAGGUAUAUACGGAAAACCAA
rnacentral:lncRNA from 1 species